UACGGAGGGGGCUAGCGUUGUUCGGAAUUACUGGGCGUAAAGCGCACGUAGGCGGCUUUGUAAGUUAGAGGUGAAAGCCCGGGGCUCAACUCCGGAACUGCCUUUAAGACUGCAUCGCUCGAAUUGUGGAGAGGUAAGUGGAAUUCCGAGUGUAGAGGUGAAAUUCGUAGAUAUUCGGAAGAACACCAGUGGCGAAGGCGACUUACUGGACACAUAUUGACGCUGAGGUGCGAAAGCGUGGGGAGCAAACAGG
rnacentral:rRNA from 1 species